rnacentral:rRNA from 1 species
UACGUAGGCAGCGAGCGUUGUCCGGAAUUACUGGGCGUAAAGGGCGCGUAGGCGGCCGUUUGCGUCGGAUGUGAAAGCCCGGGGCUCAACCUCGGAACGGCAUUCGAUACGGGACGGCUGGAGACCGGGAGAGGAGAGUGGAAUAGCCAGUGUAGAGGUGAAAUUCGUAGAUAUUGGCUGGAACACCGGUGGCGAAAGCGGCUCUCUGGCCCGGUUCUGACGCUGAGGCGCGAAAGCGUGGGGAGCAAACAGG